rnacentral:rRNA from 1 species
AGUGGAUGGGGAGCAACCUAGUUGUGCGUGUGUAAAGGUAGUGCCAAGAAAAGCGGUGAUCAUGAUGAAAAUCAAUUCCCGGUACCCGAAACCGACACAGGUGGGCAAGUAGAGAAUACUAAGGGGCGCGAGGUAACUCUCUCCAAGGAACUCGGCAAAAUGACCCCGUAACUUAGGGAGAAGGGGUGCCACCGAGAGGUGGUCGCAGUGAAGAGGCCCAGGCGACUGUUUAGCAAAAACAUAGGUCUCUGCAAACUCGAAAGAGGAGGUAUAGGGGCUGACGCCUGCCCAGUGCCGGAAGGUUAAAGAAGUUGGUCAGUCUUAGGAUGAAGCUAGCGACUGAAGCCCCGGUGAACGGCGGCCGUAACUAUAACGGUCCUAAGGUAGCGAAAUUCCUUGUCGGGUAAGUUCCGACCCGCACGAAAGGCGUAACGAUCUGGGCGCUGUCUCGGAGAGAGGCUCGGCGAAAUAGGAUUGUCUGUGAAGAUACGGACUACCUGCAUUUGGACAGAAAGACCCUAUGAAGCUUUACUAUAGCUUGGAAUUGUGUUCGGGCUUCCUGUGCGCAGGAUAGGUGGGAGGCGUAGAAGGUAUUCUUGUGGGGAUACUGGAGCCAACGGUGAGAUACCACUCUCAGGAGGCUAGAAUUCUAACUUAAUUAAGGACAGUUUCAGGUGGGUAGUUUGACUGGGGCGGUCGCCUCCAAAAGGUAACGGAGGCGUACAAAGGUUCCCUCAGACUGGUUGGAAAUCAGCCGAAGAGUGCAAAGGCAGAAGGGAGCUUGACUGCGAGAAGUACAGUUCGAGCAGGGUGGAAACACGGUCUUAGUGAUCCGACGGUGCUGUGUGGAAGGGCCGUCGCUCAACGGAUAAAAGUUACUCUAGGAUAACAGGCUGAUCUCCCCCAAGAGUUCACAUCGACGGGGAGGUUUGGCACCUCGAUGUCGGCUCAUCGCAACCUGGGGCGGAAGUACGUCCCAAGGGUUGGGCUGUUCGCCCAUUAAAGCGGUACGUGAGCUGGGUUCAGAACGUCGUGAGACAGUUCGGUCCAUAUCCGAUGUAGGCGUGAGAAUAUUGAGAGGAGCCUUCCUUAGUACGAGAGGACCGGGAAGGACGCACCGCUGGUGUACCUGUUAUGAUGCCAAUUGUAAACGCAGGGUAGCCAAGUGCGGAGAGGAUAACCGCUGAAAGCAUCUAAGUGGGAAGCCCACCUCAAGAUGAGUAUUCUGGUGUAAGGUCACGGGAAGACGACCCGUAAAUAGGCACGAGGUGGAAGUGCAGAGAUGUAUGAAGCCGAAGUGUACUAAUAGACCGUCGGCUUGAU